rnacentral:rRNA from 1 species
AUUGAACGCUGGCGGCAGGCCUAACACAUGCAAGUCGAGCGGAGCGGCGGACGGGUGAGUAAUGCCUAGGAAUCUGCCUGGUAGUGGGGGAUAACGUCCGGAAACGGGCGCUAAUACCGCAUACUAUCAGAUGAGCCUAGGUCGGAUUAGCUAGUUGGUGGGGUAACGGCCUACCAAGGCGACGAUCCGUAACUGGUCUGAGAGGAGGAUCCGUCACACUGGAACUGAGAAACGGUCCAGACGCCUACGGGAGGCAGCAGGGGGGAAGAUUGGACAAGGGGCGAAAGCCUGAUCCAGCAAUGCCGCGUGUGUGAAGAAGGUCUUCGGGUUGUAAAGCACUUUAAGUUGGGAGGCGGUACCAACAGAAUAAGCACCGGCUAACUUCGUGCCAGCAGCCGCGGUAAUUC